rnacentral:rRNA from 1 species
AGAGUUUGAUCCUGGCUCAGGACGAACGCUGGCGGCGUGCUUAAUACAUGCAAGUCGAACGGAGUUAAGGGUUUCGGCCUUUAACUUAGUGGCGAACGGGUGAGUAACGCGUGAAUAACCUGACUCAAAGAGGGGGAUAACAACGGGAAACUGUUGCUAAUACCGCAUGAGACCACAACACCGCAUGAUGAAGGGGUCAAAGAUUUAUCGCUUUGAGAGGGGUUCGCGUCCCAUUAGGUAGUUGGAGGGGUAACGGCCCACCAAGCCAACGAUGGGUAGCCGAGCUGAGAGGCUGAUCGGCCACACUGGAACUGAGACACGGUCCAGACUCCUACGGGAGGCAGCAGUAGGGAAUAUUGGGCAAUGGGCGCAAGCCUGACCCAGCAACGCCGCGUGAGGGAAGAAGGUUUUCGGAUUGUAAACCUCUGUCCUAUGUGACGAAGGAAGUGACGGUAGCAUAGGAGGAAGCCCCGGCUAACUACGUGCCAGCAGCCGCGGUAAUACGUAGGGGGCGAGCGUUGUCCGGAAUUACUGGGCGUAAAGGGUGCGUAGGCGGUUUGGUAAGUUGGAUGUGAAAUACCCGGGCUUAACUUGGGGGCUGCAUCCAAUACUGUCGGACUUGAGUGCAGGAGAGGAAAGCGGAAUUCCUAGUGUAGCGGUGAAAUGCGUAGAUAUUAGGAGGAACACCGGUGGCGAAGGCGGCUUUCUGGACUGUAACUGACGCUGAGGCACGAAAGCGUGGGGAGCAAACAGGAUUAGAUACCCUGGUAGUCCACGC